AUUACACUGUAGCUAGUUUAAAAAUUCUCGUUUUCCUUUAAUUUUUACUUUUGAAUCCUAAAAAUACUAUAUAAUUAUAAUUUCUUAAAUUCGAAAACGAAAGGAUUUUACCAAUAAUAUUAUUUCUCUUAUAGAAUCUUAAAUGGCGUAGGUACACGUCGCUAUACUUAUAUAAGUGUCUUAUAUCUACCAUCGAUUUAUCUAUGUUUAGACUAUCAACAUUCAAUAACAUAAUUAUCUACACAUUUCCCCAUUAAAAUCGCAUAAUUGAAUCUUGAAACUGUUUAUCUUGGUGGCCCAACAAUAAUUCUCUCAUAGUACUUAUAAGUCGAUCCGCGGCUAAGGUUUAUACCUUCCAAAUAUUUUCUAUGAUUCUCCAACAAAAAACUUCAUGUUUACGAGUAUUGUCAUCUAAUAUUGUUACAAUUGUUUGUUAUUAUAUUUUAAAUCGGUUGAUAUAAUUGAAUAAAUAUAAAUUAUCAUUGGACUCAUACUGUAAAUAAAAAUAUUUUGUUUUGUCAAAGAUAUUUGAUAAAUACUGAGUUUGUUCAUACAUUUUCUGAUGUUUUUAAACAUUUUAUAUUAUUUCCAUGGCAGAAAUACUAUGUUUCAAUCACGAACUACUACCUAACCUAUGUAGUAGUUCGUGGUUUCAAUAUUAUUAUAUAAUAUUAAUUGUUAUUUAGAUCAUUAAAAAUAACCAAUCUGGUGACACUUAGUUUAAGAGUUAAGAAUUAGAAGUUAAAGGAUUAAAUCAGAAGAUCGCGACACCAUUUUCUUUUAAGUCUACUACGAGAAUUUCCAGAAAGUAAAGAGAUAUGUAAACCUAUACUAAAAAGGAAUUCGAUGAUUUUUUUAAUUUGGAAAAAGUCGUUAGUAAAAAGCUGCUGAUAUUCAAUUAAUUAAAUAAAUAACUAACUAAAAAAUAAAUUUUAAAAAAACCUAAUACGGCGGCGUUAUCUGGUGACGAAAGAAGAAAUAAAUAACGUUUCGACAUCGGAAAACUCUCCUCAUACUAACAAUGAUACCUACACUAUUGAUACUAAAUUAUAAUAGAACAGGAUAAUGCACAAAUGGACAUCCGUCUCCAGUAUGGAAUUCAAAAUGUACCUUUGACAAAAAAUUAUUUGGAAACUAAACUUGGGACUAAAAUAUUACCCUGUGGACUUUUUACUGAUAAAAAAUUGCCUUAUUUGGCUGCUAGUCCAAAAAUGGUUUAAUGGUUUCAAUUAUUGUUGAAAAUAAAUACCUAGCAUCCAUAAAAUACUAUACUCCGGAAGAGGCCUUUCAUGAAAAAAAUUUAAAUGUACGACAUACAAAUACAAUGAUUGCAAUUUUCAACUGAAAACAUCACAUGCACAUUAGUCUCAAAUUCAGAGACAACUACAAACUACAUAAUAUAAGAUAUAAGUGAUACAACUAAUAGGGAGUUAUAUUGUUUUUGUACAUGGACACAUAAAGGAUUUAUAAUAGAGAAAAUUGAAAGGGAUGACGAGUUCUGGAUGAAUAGAUAUAAAUCUAAAAUUAAGGAAGUUUUACAUGAAAUGUUUACUUCCGGAAAUAAUUGAUUCGCAGCUUCACCGAGGACUUCCACUUAGAAUACACUUAUAAUUAUAAUUCGAUACCUCUAUAUAAAAUACGUAUAUUAAAUGAAAUUAAAAAAAAUGUGCACUGAUUAGAGUAUUGGGCUCACAUCCAAAUACAAUUUAGGUAAUAUACUGGUAGGUAAUAACUGGCAAUUAUACAUAAAAAUCGCGUAUAAAAUAAUAAUAUAAAAACAACUUUAUUAUUUUAAACAAGCAUUUAUUAUUAUUAAUAACUUACAAGUUACAACAAUUGUUAUACUACACACAUAUAAAGAGAAAGUAUAAUUACCUAUUUACCUAUCUAUAUAUCUUAAUUAUAAAAAUGUCUGCAGGCUGUGAUUAAUAUUUGUUGGGAAAAAUUAUUGUCAUUUUCUGAAUGACAUAUUAUACUAUCUACUAUCUAUGCACGCCGACAUAAUCGAAGACAAUAAUAUGGGUGGGCGGAGAUACUCACACUAAUGAUCGUUUACUACAAAACCCAUAGACCUAUUUUGUUAAUAGGUCUAUUACAAAACCCAAGUAUACGCCUUGCACGUACACUCAAUGAAAAUUACUUACACUCAACUCUUUAAAAACGGUCAGUAUCGAAUCCCCUGAAGUAAAAUGUAUUUUUAGCUUCUCUCGCAUGUGUAAAAUAUGUUAUAUUUCAAUCAUUAAAAAUGCAAAAAUAUAUAUUUAUAACUUAAAUUUAAUUUUCUGAUUGUAUAAAAAUUGUAUUAUUCAGUAUUAUUCUAGAAUCUAGAUUAUCAACGUGUGUGUAUAAGAUAACUACAGUGGUAGCUAAUGGUAAUAAUUAGUAAAUAAUAUACUUGAAUAAAAAAAUUAGUUUUUGUAUAAAAUUUAUGAACUGUAAAUAUUUAAAUGUUAAGUACGUGGAGUAGAAAACUAUCAUUUUCGAGAUAUCUCCAUACUUUACCAAUCCGCUAAAUUAAAUUUUAAAUAGUUAUAAGUUAUAAACUACUCACCUAAAUUUGAAUUUAAAAAUUUAUGUUGUCAUUCAAAAAACUAAAAAUUAUAAAAACUGUUGUUUUAUUUUGUUUGGAAAUUUAGUAAGAAAAAAUAUUUUUAAAAGCAUUAGCGUAUUAACGCGUAGAUUUUUGAAUAAUGA